rnacentral:sRNA from 17 species
GGGAAUCCGGUGCAAUUCCGGAACGGUCGCGCCACUGUGAUCGCCUCGCGGCGAAAGUCAGACC